AGGUCUAAUCUGCCCAUUGAUUAGUUAAAAGGCCGCAGUAAUUUGACUGUGCAAAGGUAGCAUAAUCAUUAGUUUUUUAAUUUAAAGCUUGUAUGAAUGAUUGGACGAGAUAAAAACUGUCUCUUAAUAAAAUAUAGAAUUUAAUUUUUAAGUUAAAAAGCUUAAAUGUUUAUAAAAGACGAGAAGACCCUAUAGAUUUUUAUUUAAAUUUAUUUAUUUUAUAUAAAGAUUAAAAAAUAAAUUAAAUAUUUUUAUAAUUUUAUUGGGGUAAUAAAAAGAUUAAAGAAAUUCUUUAAUAGUUGUAACAAAAAUUAUUGAAUAAGUGAUCCAAAAUUUUUGAUUUAAAGAUUAAAUUACCUUAGGGAUAACAGCGUAAUUUUUUUAGAGAGUUCUUAUCGAUAAAAAAGUUUGCGACCUCGAUGUUGGAUUAAAAAUUAUUUUGGGUGUAGAAUUUCAAAUUAUUGGUCUGUUCGACCAUUAGAUUUUU
rnacentral:rRNA from 1 species